AGAGUAGAGAUUAGAAAUGUUUUAUAAAUAUUCCUCACAUAGCCCGUUCUUUUUCUCCAGUUGUAUCCUCUUUCCUCACUCAGAGAUUUUCUCCAGGGUCAUCUGAGGUUGUGAUAACGUGCAGAGCAUCCCUCAGCAGCCUGCAGAGGUCUCAGAUUUACACCAUGUCCACCUUCAGCAGCAGUCAGAUUACUUGGCAUUUGCACACGUGGUUCUCAAAACUGAGGGGACCACCAGGAGGAAGAAAUCUCAGCACCCAUUUCCCCCUUAAUGUGCUUUGCAAUCCCCCCCAUGAUGAUAUUCAUCCCUGUUGGAGUACUGCUGUAGUUGAACCGGC
rnacentral:lncRNA from 1 species